UUUAUAAUUGGGCCUAAACAUAAAGGAGAUUGGCACGUCUUCAGCAUCAAGAUGUCUUUCCGCCAUUCUUUCUAGGGUUCUAUCAAUGGAGGUUCCGAUAUCCUCGGGUAUUAGUGUUAUUUGCAUCUAUGUCGGUUUCUUUGGUGUCGCUUCGUUAUCGCAUUCGUCUCUUAAUAUGCGUUACUGGUUCAUUGAAUUUGAUCCAGUGUCAUUAACUAUUUGACUCGCUACAACCAGGAUCAAUGAUUCUUACCCUCCUUCCAAUCGGUGGAUCUCCAACUAUAAAAGUUAGGCCUCAGCUCUUGAGAUUCAUCAUCAAACCUCCAAUAGCAUUCAAAUUUUCUUUCUCUCUCUCAUUCGAGAAUUUCUCUGAGAUUCCAAUUUCCAAGUUCCCGGUGUUGUUGUUUGGAGUUGUUAACUUUGAUGGAUGUGACCAGAGAUCCCGCGGCGUUGGACCUUCCGGGAAGCAACAAGGCUUGAAUCGCUUCAUCUCGGCGGCGGCGACGAUUUUUGGCAACUUACAACUCGGCUACUAACAACGCUUACUCCCAAUAAGGCCGGUGGUUUCAUUGAUUGAGCUUCCGCCUACGCAAGCAGUGGAGCUUCUCUAUUUCACUGAUUCAUCGUCGUCUUCUCAAGUGGAGGCCGACGGUUUGGGUAUCUCUCCACCGCUGCUUUGCUCUUAGGGGAAAUUCCAGCCCUCUUGGAUCGAGCAGAUUGCUUCUCGGUGGUUGCUAAUGCGCAGCAGCAAAAUGGAAACGUCUCCGGUGAGACUACUACUACGAGCUCGGUGCCUUGUAACUCCAACUCUAAUCUGGAUAGAGUCAAAACCAAGCCUGGUGGAACAUGUGGUGAGGGAAGUGAUGGUUAUGAGCUCUUUGGAAUCUAUUGCAAACUUCCACCGUAUAAGAGCAGAACCGCCUCUGUUUUUUUAGGGUCGGCUUCUUAUUUAAGAGGAAGCUUAUCAGCGAGUGAGGGAGAGAAGAAAACAGAGGGAUGAUGGGUAAAACGCAUAAGAGUUGUGCUCCUGUUGAAGAUAUGACGAAAAUGUCCAUAGCCAUUAAAGGCGGCCCAAGGAAAUCACUUGGAGGCAGAGGAGGGAGGACAUUGGUGGUCGGAGUUGGUUUAUCUAUCAGGCACCGGCACGGCGGCACCUCUUGUCAACCUCUCCAUGACACCGAGCGGCUUCAGUUUAUCAACAGCAUAAGAAAAGGUCUUCUUGGUGCUCAUAUCAAACGUGUCAUUGAACUCUUAUUUGAGACAAGGCAAGCCUUUACACCAGAGCAAAUAAACGGAAGUUGUUAUGUUAUUAUCCUUUCCAACAAGGUUGUUUUGAUUGUUUGAGGAACAGCGUAUGAUGGGAGGAGGUUCUCAUACAAGGAGUAUAGGGCUAAGCUGUAUAAGCUGAAAUAAAUGAGAAAAGAGUUGGACGAUAUACUGCAGCCGCCUGUAGGGCUGAAGUGGCUAAGCUGGAAAAAAUUAAAAAGAAACUCAAAAAUUCAAACGGCUGGAACCAGUGGAAACGUGUUGUGAUAGCCAGAGGGAUGAACCAAGGCUGUGUAAUCAAACGGUUUCAGUAAUCUAUAAUAAUAAAGGAGUUGACUUGAAACAAAAAUGAAUCCUGCAUACUUUUUUUAAUCCCGUAUAUCAGAUCUCUUUGUUGUGUAGAUAUUAUUGAACUUGCGUAUAUUAAAAAAAACAGUUUGUAACCGACUAUAAAUUUUUGGAAACAAUCAUAACUAUUUAUAUUUUAGAUUUC